GACGAACGCUGGCGGCGUGCUUAACACAUGCAAGUCGAACGGUGAAGCGCCUUCCUUUUUGGUGGGUGUGGAUGAGUGGCGAACGGGUGAGUAACACGUGAGUAACCUGCCCCCUUCUUCUGGAUAACCGCAUGAAAGUGUGGCUAAUACGGGAUAUUCUGGGUCUGUCGCAUGAUGGGUCUGGGAAAGAUAUUGUUUCGGUGGGGGAUGGGCUCGCGGCCUAUCAGCUUGUUGGUGGGGUGAUGGCCUACCAAGGCGGUGACGGGUAGCCGGCCUGAGAGGGUGGACGGUCACACUGGGACUGAGACACGGCCCAGACUCCGACGGGAGGCAGCAGUGGGGAAUAGUGCACAAUGGGCGCAAGCCUGAUGCAGCGACGCCGCGUGAGGGAUGGAGGCCUUCGGGUUGUGAACCUCUUUCGCUAGUGAAGCAGGCCUGCCUCGUUUGUGGGUGGGUUGACGGUAGCUGGAUAAGAAGCGCCGGCUAACUACGUG
rnacentral:rRNA from 1 species